rnacentral:misc_RNA from 1 species
CUCUUUCCUCUCAACGUGCUGUCCUUCGCAUGCGUUUCUUCGACAAUGACUCCCGUUGUGUUCUCUCCCUCAAGGCCAAGCCUGUUCUAAUCAAUGGUGUCAGCCGUGUCGAGGAAGAUGAAGAAGAAAUCGAUCCUGUGAUUGGUCGUGAAUGCGUCGCUGAUCCAUCCAAGUUAAGUUCUAUCGAAUCCAGGAUUUUGAAGAGGUGCAAAGAUGAGUUUGGGAUUGUGGAAGGAAUGGGUUUUGUUUGUUUGGGUGGGUUUGAGAACUUGAGACAAGUUUAUGAGUGGAGAGGGUUGAAGCUGGAGGUGGAUGAGACUAAAUAUAGCUUUGGGGUUUCUUAUGAGGUGGAAUGUGAAACAUCUGAUCCUGAAGAGGUUAAGAGACAACUCGAAGAGUUUCUGAAGGAUAAUGGGAUCGAUUAUAAAUACUCAGAGAUGUCAAAGUUUGCAGUUUUUCGAUCUGGGAAGCUGCCUUAGUCAGUGAACUCAAUGAUUGGGCUUAUAGGUUGACCUGAAGCAUAACUGUCGUGAAGGGCCAUGGCAAAGAAGUGAAGAUCACAGGAUUUGGCAGAAAACUAAAUUUUCUUUGCGCCAUUGCAUCUAAUUCCCUAGACACAAUUAAGUUUGCCAUGGACAUGUAAUUGACAAUGCAUAUUAUUUUCUUUUGUAACAUGAUUAUCUUGUGAACCCCAAGAGUAAAUCAUACAUGUUCAUUGCCUGAGGAUUGUGCAUCUAUCGCAUGCAUCUGGGUUUAGGUAAUGUUUGGUAGAACUUAAUGUAAUGCAAUAUAAUUAAUUAUGUAAUGAAUCAAAGUUUUAAUGUAAUGC